GACGUUUCAGCUCCUCUCAGGGAGCUUUCAACAGGACAAAGACAUUGAUGUCUUUGUCCUGAUGAAAGCUCCCUGAGAGGAGCUGAAACGU